GCGUUCGCCUCCUUGCUGUGGGUGUGGUUGCGUGCGUAGACGUCAGCGCAAUGCCUUUGUUUGGCGGCAUGCGGAUGACAUUCACGUCCGUAUCCGCACACACAUCCGCAUCCAUAUAUCCG
rnacentral:precursor_RNA from 15 species